rnacentral:rRNA from 1 species
CGCUGGCGGCAUGCCUUACACAUGCAAGUCGAACGGCAGCACGGGAGCAAUCCUGGUGGCGAGUGGCGGAACGGGUGAGUAAUAUAUCGGAACGUCGCCCAGUCGGUGGGGGAUUAACGUAGACGAAAGUUACGCUAAUACCGCAUACGAUCUAAGGAUGAAAGCGGGGGAUCGCAAGACCUCGCGCGAUUGGAGCGGCCGAUAUCAGAUUAGGUAGUUGGUGGGGUAAAGGCUCACCAAGCCAACGAUCUGUAGCUGGUCUGAGAGGACGACCAGCCACACUGGAACUGAGACACGGUCCAGACUCCUACGGGAGGCAGCAGUGGGGAAUUUUGGACAAUGGACGCAAGUCUGAUCCAGCCAUUCCGCGUGCAGGAUGAAGGCCCUCGGGUUGUAAACUGCUUUUGUACGGAACGAAAAGGUCUCUCUUAAUACGGGGGGCUCAUGACGGUACCGUAAGAAUAAGCACCGGCUAACUACGUG